rnacentral:lncRNA from 1 species
UUUUAUUUAUUGUGUCUGUUUAGUUAACGCAUCAAUGUAAAUAUAACGGAAUUUGAUGAGACUGUCAUUAAAGUGAGAGGGUUAGCGCUAUAGAACCAGGUUUAAUCCACCAUUUUCUACAUUUGAAAAUGCCUGUACCAAGUCAGGAAUAUGACAGUUCUUGUCCAUUCGUUUUUGAUGCGUUUUGUGAUUUGAUUUUGCCAUCUGAUUAUGGACUUUCCGAAUUGAUUUUC